rnacentral:rRNA from 1 species
CAGGGAAUCUUGCACAAUGGACGAAAGUCUGAUGCAGCGACGCCGCGUGGGGGAUGAAGGCCCUAGGGUCGUAAACCCCUUUCAGUGGGGACGAAAAUGACGGUACCCACAGAAGAAGGUCCGGCCAACUACGUGCCAGCAGCCGCCGUAAGACGUCGGGACCGAGCGUUGUCCGGUAUUAUUGGGCGUAAAGAGCUCGUAGGCGGUUCCGUAAGUCGGAUGUGAAAGCACAGGGCUCAACCCUGAGACGCCAUCCGAUACUGCGCCGACUUGAACCCAGUAGGGGAGUGUGGAAUUCCUGGUGUAGCGGUGAAAUGCGCAGAUAUCAGGAGGAACACCUAUGGCGAAGGCAGCACUCUGGGCUGGUAUUGACGCUGAGGAGCGAAAGCAUGGGUAGCAAACAGGAUUAGAUACCCCCGUAGUCC